ACCACCCGUGACCUAGCUUCCUCCGCCACUUCUCCCGCCGCCCACACCUAGCCUCCUCCGCCACUCCUCCGCCCACUCAUCAUCAUCAUCAUCAUCAUCAUCCAAUUCUUCAACUGUUAGUGUAUAUCAAAUCUACGGGAUGGCAAACAUCAUCCACAAGUGAUGUGGAAUGUGAAUGAGAAGAAUUUUAUGCCUCACUUGGCUUCAUCUUGUUAGGUAUGCUGAGUGAUAUGAUAUGUAGAAGAAUUGAUUAGCAACUUUUAUGAUUGCAAUUAGGUAUGCUGAGUGAUAUGACCAAAGUUCAUUUCUAUUGUCGGGAAAUCAAAGCCUUCGCUCAUACAAGU